AUAUCAAUAAGCGGAGGAAAAGAAACCAACAGGGAUUGCCUCAGUAGCGGCGAGUGAAGCGGCAAAAGCUCAAAUUUGAAAUCUGGCGUCUUUGGCGUCCGAGUUGUAAUUUGAAGAAGGUAUCUUUGGGCCCGGCUCUUGUCUAUGUUCCUUGGAACAGGACGUCACAGAGGGUGAGAAUCCCGUGCGAUGAGAUGACCCGGGUCUGUGUAAAGUUCCUUCGACGAGUCGAGUUGUUUGGGAAUGCAGCUCUAAGUGGGUGGUAAAUUCCAUCUAAAGCUAAAUAUUGGCGAGAGACCGAUAGCGAACAAGUACAGUGAUGGAAAGAUGAAAAGAACUUUGAAAAGAGAGUGAAAAAGUACGUGAAAUUGUUGAAAGGGAAGGGCUUGAGAUCAGACUUGGUAUUUUGCAUGUUGCUCUCUCGGGGGCGGCCGCUGCGGUUUACCGGGCCAGCAUCGGUUUGGAGCGGCAGGAUAAUGGCGGAGGAAUGUGGCACGGCUUCUGCUGUGUGUUAUAGCCUCUGACGAUGCUGCCAGCCUAGACCGAGGACUGCGGUUUUUUACCUAGGAUGUUGGCAUAAUGAUCUUAAGUCGC
rnacentral:rRNA from 1 species